AAAGCACCUUUGGGACAACCAUUACCCGGAUAACUGAGAAUCUCCGUAGAGAUCUUGUAGUAAGAACUCUAUAUCCUGUGGAAUUGAUCUUCCUGGCUUCUUCAGAUAGUUAUGUAGGUAGACUGAGUGGCUAGAUUAGGGAAACUGUAAGCACUUACUUUGACAAAAAAAUGUCCUGUGACACAGUGUGUUUUAAAACAAUGUUGUGUCAUUCUCUUAAAGA